UGGGGCGCUGCAUGCACAGCCCCUGCUUCCCCCAGCAGUACUCCCAGUUUGCAGCCAGGCAGGAGCUGCUGGAGCAGCUGGAGGAGCUGCAGUUCCAGCUGUCGGACCAGUCCCUGCUGCUGCUGCCCGAGUACCACCAGCGCCUCGAGGUGCUGUCGGAGCUGGGC